rnacentral:tRNA from 1 species
GGCCUCGUGGUCUAGUGGUAUGAUUCUCGCUUCGGGGCGAGAGGUCCCGGGUUCGAUUCCCGGUGAGGCCC